GCCCGUCUAUUUCCUGCUUUUCUUUUCUUUCUCGUCGUAGUGAGUUGAUAACGGGGUAAGGGAGGAAGCUGAAUAAAAGAUAAAUACAAAUAAACGAAUAAUAUAAUCGGUCUGUAAAGUAAGCUAGUUAAAGACACGGGAAAGUUAGUAAGGAGCCUUUUUUUCACUCGGGGUUUAAGAGGACUCCAGCGGUACUUCAGAUGAGGUUCAGCUAAUGGAAAACGGGACAACUGUAUUAACUUGAGCAAAGGAAGGACACGGCUUAGCAUGUUGGCCCUGCUAGCAUGGUACGCUGGAUUCUUCUGAUGGUGUCCAGCAGGCUGAAGAUCGACAUCUGAGAUGGUCAGCAUCCUGACAGCCCGAUGGACGAAGCUGUCUCUCAGUCUGCGUGUUCUGGCCCGGAGGCUCUUCAGUAUCCUUCCUGAUGGCAGCAAACUGAAGACGCCGUUGAAGGGAUGAGUGGAGUCACCUGUAAUGGAGAGGACCUUCCAGAUGAGGCAGGUGCAGUAGAUCUCCUGGGGAGGGAGGCAAGAGAGGUCCCCACAAUGCUCUCGGCUGCUCUCACUACCAGUUGUCACUUUUUUCCUGCAGAACCCAGUGCAGGAGUCAUACCACACAGUGAU